GCGCGGGUGGUGGAACUGGCAGACACAUACGUUUGAGGGGCGUAUGGGUAAUCCCCGUGCGGGUUCAAGUCCCGCCCCGCGCA
rnacentral:tRNA from 1 species